UAAAAUUGCUCUCCGCAAAUUCUUCCAGCUUCAUUUCCCCAUCUCUGUGGACACGCUGCCGGCAGGAUCCGGCGAUUUUAUUCCCUCUUGAGAAAACGCACAAAGUAUCGGUGCCAGGCUGCAGAACAAGCCCAACAGCCUCGUUUCUUUUCUCUCCCCCCCCCGCCCCGCUUCUCCUCCUUUUGUUCGCGUCUUGCUCCCGGCUGGGCGCAGUAUCGCACCUCGUUGGAAGGACAAGAUCCUCCUCUGCUGGCCAUGAGCAAUACGGCACGGCGGCGAGGGGCCUUGCCACGCUGCUGUGCUGCCCCACUAGGCCUCCAUGCUCUGUCCCCCGCCUGUAGUCCCCUUCCUACAUCCCCAUCUGCAUCCCCUUCUGCAAACCACCUCUCACAUCCCACAUCCCCUGUUCCACCACUUGCAUGCUAUAUUCCACCCUCCUCAUUCUGCAUACCCCAUCCCAUGUCCUCCAUUCCAUCUCCCUCAUACUGCAUCCCACCUCCCACAUUCCCCAUCCCACCUCCCAUUUUCCCAUCCCAUGCCCUGCAGCCCCCUGCAUGGCACAUAGGAAAGGGCAAUUUCAUGCCUGCAGGAGGGAAGGAGAGGGACUUUUUGCUGGCCUCAGCCAAGCAGCACCAUUCAUGUAUGGGACCAAAAGAUGAAAUUUGGCUUUGUGUCAGCUAGCACAGGUGGAGGUUGUCUGCAGCAGUGUGAUCUGGUGGAUAUCUUAAGGGAGGAGUAAAGGUCUACCUGGGGUUUUAUCCCCAACAAUUCUGCAUCGCACAUCUGAGGGGGAAAGAGAAACAGCACAGUGGAGCUGUGAUAAAGGUUGGGUUGAUCUCCUGGGAGCAUUUGUUCCAAGGAACAUUUGUGUUGUGUCAGCAGGUAGUGGCCUUAAUCCAAAACUAAGAAUGCAAAUCUAGGGCCUAGCCACCCUGAAGUACAAAGGAGUAAUGGAUGCUGAGGGAAACCUGUAUAUUUUCUAGGGCAGCAGGUUAUUGCAAGAAGGAAGCCAGGUCAUCUUGCUGUCUUGCAAACACCUCUGUCCAUGGGAGAAGGUUUGAAGGGGGACAGGUUUGAGGGAAAAGUAGUAAUAAUAGGAAUAAUAAUGUGUUCUCUUCUUUACAUCUGAGCAAUGAUGCAGUGCAUACCUCAUAUAGCCCAGGCUGGCACUUUGCCCUUCCCAUGUAGAGUAAAUGGCUGCCCUGAGUGCAGGGAAGUUUAGCAGUCUCCUUGAAGUGAAAAAUUCUGCCCACAAACCAACUCAGCAAAUGGCACAAAGGAGAAGUAUGGAAAGCUGUGGAGGAAAACAAGGUGCAGGUACACAGAGGCUGCACCGUAAAGCAUGGAAGCCAAGCAGAAAAGCCCCCACUCCCUGCCUGCAGGGGGCUGUGAGCAGGCCUCAGGCAACCUCAGGUGCAUGUGCUGGGGAUAGCAGCAGGUGUGAGUUGUUCUGAGUAAGUGGCAAGGUUCUUAUUUGCUGCUGCUUAUUCAUUUGCUCUCAGUUGCAGCUAGGUUUUACCUGAGAAUACUGGCAUAGCAGCUCCUGUGAUUUCUUAUAUGUCUACUACUAGUUCUUCCUGGUCCUCCCUGACCUACCUGCUGAAUGGUAAGUGGCUUUGAUUUCUUCCAUUAAAUUCUGCAUGUGAGCCUGAGAUGUUGGCAGCCUGGUCCGUCGAGAUCCAUGGCUGAUGGUCAGUGUUGAGUUUUAACUGCAUGCGCAGCUUUGUAGCACUUAAAGCAACAGCUGAGAUCAAAUAGGAAGUUAUUGUGCUUUGGACAGGCAGCAUGGUCUGCACUCCCAGGCCUUCCUGCUUCUCGCAUUGGUGCAGAAGGCAACUAUGUCAUUUUGUUGUCAUUUUGGUCCAACCUGUGAGUCCUGUGGCUCUAUAUCCGUACAGCUCUGUUUCUUUCCCCAGAUUAAUUCUGCUCUCCUUAUAGAAUGUUCCAGAUCAGUAUUUAGUUUCCACAUCUUCAGCUGCAGCUAACAACAGGCUAUUUCACUAUAGUGAAACAGCCCCAAAACUGUUUGAAAGGAGUGAGGGUUUGGCUGUUCGCUGCUCUUAUUCCUUUUGCAAUUUCUUUCUGAAGUCACAAAUGCUCACAGCCAAAGCUUUUGUGGAAGGGAGGAAAUACCAAGAGGUCUGUGCAGAAGCAAGUGGGAGACCUACUGGUAUUUGAAGUCUCAUCGCAAUUUCAGCUUCAUAAAAAUAACUUUGUAUUAUUCACAGACCCUCAGACAGAAAGUAUUUAGAGAGGUGGCAGGAAAACUCAUCCUGCUUAAAUUAGGCCAGAAUUCAGUUCGUCCCCAGAGGUUCAGAGAGCUUGAAUAAAUGCUGGGUGCCUUCAGUGUUGGCAAUAAGCUUUAAAUUUGCACAUCACUCAUCUCGACAACUGCAGUCCAACAAAGUUACCUUGCCAUUCGGGUCACUCGAUGGCAUCCUAAUGCAUCACUUUCCCACUUGGAACAUUAGUCAUGACUUGAUCCAGGCAAGGUUUUGAAAACAGUGUGACUGCCAGCAUUGAGAUAUCUGUUCUCCCUAUAAGAGACAGUCCGUGUAAGCUAACGAACAAGAGGAUAUUGAUCAGAAAUCCAUUACGUGAUUGACGGCUCUUGGCAAUGUGAAAAAGUGUGGAUGAAAGCUUGAGCAGUUUAAAAGAUCACCCAGACCUCAAAGCUGAUUUGAAGCUUUAAAAGUCAAUCUCUUGCCUAUCAAUUAUGGGGGGAUUUUUUUUUUUUGUACUACACAGAAGAAAGUUAUUCUUUGAAAAUUUGCAUGCAGGAUGUCUAAUUUAAUUUCGUGUAAUAGUCACAUUUUGGUGACAAAUGUCAGAUCACUGCUUUUUAAAGCAUGUCAAGGUUUUCCAGCACUUACAGAGAAUGAGCACUCUGAUUUAGUAAUGUGUUUAAAUCAACCAGUGUAUCAGAUUUGGUGUGUUAAUUAUGUGCUCAGAUUAAAAAAAAUACUGCUUUUGCUUUACUAAAUCCAUGGCUUGUUAUGAAUAAUUAAAAAAAAAAAAAUGGAAUGGGAACACUUCUUAAGUAAGAGAUGUGGAAACCAAAUAGUUAUUUAGUGAUAUAGCAGUAAUAAACAGGAAGACAUCUUUGUUUGAUGUACCCAAGUCAGGGAAGUCUGUUCUUCUUUAUUCUUAUGGUGCUUAAUAAAUGAUUGAUUCAUUGCUAAGAGAUGUACCAAGGCAGCAAAACGAAGUGACAGUAUCAUCAUUUCUGAGCACUGUCCUUACAGUUGGUAGAUGUUUCUACAAUGGCUUUGCUGUCUGUGCUUGUUUGGAGCACUUGUUUUUCCUCUAUCAAUUCAGCAAAGCCCUUGCGCUCCCUGUAGCGCAUGCUGGGCAUGUCUGCUGGGUGCUCUCAGCAGCCUCAACUCCUCUGCUCAUCCUUCACAACUUUUACCAGCUAUGUCUUUUAGAGAAAAAGAUAGAAAAAAGGCUACCCUGUCUCUCCGAAUAGCUCCUUAAAGUACCCGUGGAACAAAAGCUGACGUUCCCUGCUAAGAUUUUGCAAAUAAACAGGGGAAACAAAACUAGGCUUCUGCACAAUAUUCCCUCAAACUCGAGUCCGCCUGCAGAAUCUCCCCUCAGACGAAGUGAGCUUGCAGGUUGCAUUUCAGGCAAAACCUUCUUUUUGUUUUCCUUUCUUAACUACAUCGCAUUAAAUUUAAUUUUGUUCACAGUAGACAAUGUCCUUAUCUUCCAACGAGAUCCUUCUGUUCCUCAGCACAGCGCAUACUUCUGCAACACUUGCACACUGUCGAGACUCGGCUCCUGUGGAAAUAAUGAGCUGAGUAAAAGGAGUCUUGACUUGACAUAGCAAUAAAUGAGGUGAAACUUUUUUUUUUGUGAGAAACGAGAGUUGGCAUGUAGGAAGGGGGGGAA